rnacentral:misc_RNA from 1 species
AAAAAGAUUUAUGGAGAGAAAAAUUAUUGAAAUCCUUUAUGGAUAUAAUGACACAAACUUCUUCAAUAGAUGAAGUUUUGAAGACUAAUCAUGAUCUUACGAUUCGACUAAAGUUCAUGGGUUUAUCAAAUUCAUAGAGAGGGAUAUAGUGUUCACUUUGGUCAAGAGUCACAGAAUUUCAUUAGAUUCAUUGUCAAAACAAAUGGCCACUCCAAGGUUGCCGACUUCAUGGAAUAACAAUCUCAAAUUAUAACCUUCGUUGAAGCUCAUUAAAGUGCCAGGGCAAUUUUUUUAGAUUGUUUGAUGUAGUAGUACUUCAAUGCCUUGGACAACUUGGAUAUAUAAGUUUCAGAUAUAGGUGUAUUUUUCUUGAUUCCGAUUCUGGUAGUAAAAUAAAAAGUUCGAGAAAAAAAAAAUCUUUUACUUGGUUUGCUGGAGGUAAGAAUUCGAUGAUGUGUUGAAGAGCAUUCUUAAUUGCCCAAUGUAAGAUUAGACCCUUUUUCCUGAGGAUGACCUCAAGAUGUUGUUCUUUUAGUGGAAGGCUGUUUAUGAAUAGCUUCUGUUAGUCAAAUCCAAUGGACCUUGAAAUCGUUUCCAUUUUGUCUCUUAUGGUUGCCAAAAACUUUGUUUGUGUUGGUGAUUCUGUUACUAUCUGAUUAAUGCAGAGCAAAUAGAACGAAGGGGAAGAGAAACAAAUUCUCA